AUUGAACGCUAGCGGAAUGCUUUACACAUGCAAGUCGAACGGCAGCGCGGACUUCGGUCUGGCGGCGAGUGGCGAACGGGUGAGUAAUGUAUCGGAACGUGCCCAGUAGCGGGGGAUAACUACGCGAAAGCGUAGCUAAUACCGCAUACGCCCUACGGGGGAAAGCAGGGGAUCGUAAGACCUUGCACUAUUGGAGCGGCCGAUAUCGGAUUAGCUAGUUGGUGAGGUAACGGCUCACCAAGGCGACGAUCCGUAGCUGGUUUGAGAGGACGACCAGCCACACUGGGACUGAGACACGGCCCAGACUCCUACGGGAGGCAGCAGUGGGGAAUUUUGGACAAUGGGGGCAACCCUGAUCCAGCCACCCCGCGUGUGCGAUGAAGGCCUUCGGGUUGUAAAGCACUUUUGGCAGGAAAGAAACGUCGCGGGCUAAUACCCCGUGGAACUGACGGUACCUGCAGAAUAAGCACCGGCUAACUACGUG
rnacentral:rRNA from 1 species